GUGUCAGCAGCCGCGGUAAUACAGAGGGUGCGAGCGUUAAUCGGAAUUACUGGGCGUAAAGCGCACGUAGGUGGCGACGUAAGUCGGGUGUGAAAGCCCCGGGCUCAACCUGGGAAUUGCAUUCGAGACUGCAUUGCUGGAGUACGGAAGAGGAGGGCGGAAUUCCCGGUGUAGCGGUGAAAUGCGUAGAUAUCGGGAGGAACAUCAGUGGCGAAGGCGGCCCUCUGGUCCAGUACUGACACUCAAGUGCGAAAGCGUGGGGAGCAAACAGGAUUAGAAACCCCCGUAGUCC
rnacentral:rRNA from 1 species